GGGGUACGGACAUAUGGAACUAACAAAUGUGGAAUAAACAUUUCUAGGUUGUAAGAGUUGUGUAGAGGCCAAGCAUGAUGCCUUUGUUGUUUGAACCGGUCCAUGUGUAGUGGUAUGGAGAAUUGUCACGAAUACCAGGGUGGCAACGUUGUAUGUAGUGGAGGGCCGUCUGAGGCUGUGAUCAAAGCAAAAUGACUCAAAUAACCAACAUGAUAGAUUAUUGUCUAGAUGUAGGUGACUUAUCAUAUGUAACAUUGUCAAUACCAUGCUAGACUGAAG